GUACAAAACAACCUCCGAAUGAUAUUAACCAAGACACACUCGUCCAAGUUCAUAUUCAUAAAUUGACCCAAACUAAUUGACCAACGGAACAAGUUACCCUAGGGAUAACAGCGCAAUCCUACUCAAGAGUCCAUAUCGACAGUUAGGGUUUACGACCUCGAUGUUGGAUCAGGACAUCCAAAUGGUGUAGCCGCUAUUAAAGGUUCGUUUGUUCAACGAUUAAAGUCCUACGUGAUCUGAGUUCAGACCGGAGAA
rnacentral:rRNA from 1 species